CAGGCUGCAACUCGCCUGCAUGAAGUCGGAAUUGCUAGUAAUCGUGGAUCAGCAUGCCACGGUGAAUACGUUCCCGGGCCUUGUACACACCGCCCGUCACACCAUGGGAGUCGGGAAUGCCCGAAGCCGGUGACCUAACCGAAAGGAAGGAGCCGUCGAAGGCAGGUCUGAUAACUGGGGUGAAGUCGUAACAAGGUAUC
rnacentral:rRNA from 1 species